rnacentral:rRNA from 1 species
UGAGGAACAUGACCUUCGGCGGGGGAGUAGCCGGCCCAACGGCCGGGUAAUACCACGUACGACCACAUGGGGACAUCCCCGAGUGGUGAAAGCAGCAAUGCGCCGAUGGAGUGCCUCGCGGCCUAUCAGCUAGUUGGAGAGGUAACGGCUCACCAAGGCAACGACGGGUAGCUGGUCUGAGAGGAUGGCCAGCCACAUUGGGACUGAGACACGGCCCAGACUCCGUAGG